rnacentral:misc_RNA from 1 species
GAUGAAGAACGCAGCGAAAUGCGAUAAGUAAUGUGAAUUGCAGAAUUCAGUGAAUCAUCGAAUCUUUGAACGCACCUUGCGCCCUUUGGCUAUUCCGAAGGGCAUGCCUGUUUGAGUAUCGUGAACACCUCAACUCUCAUGGUUUGCCAUGAUGAGCUUGGACUUUGGGGGUUUUGCUGGCCUUUGGUCGGCUCCUCUCAAACGGAUCAGCUUUCCAGUGUUUGGUGGCGUCACGGGUGUGAUAACUAUCUACGCCUGUGGUUUUCUGCCAGAUAACCUUCAGCGAUGGAGGUUCGCUGGGGCUCAUAAAUGUCUCUCUUCAGUGGAGACAGCUUUUUGGACGUUUGAUCUCAAAUCAGGUAGGACUACCCGCUGAACUUAAGCAUAUCAAUAAGCGGAGGA